rnacentral:rRNA from 1 species
AUGUUAUCACAGCAACUAAGACCAAAGUGCAACUAAGCUGUCAUAAGCUAAAGAUGUACCUAAGACCCCCCUUAUAAACGAUCUUAGCACUUUAGAUUAAUUUAACUCCACGAAAGCUAGGACACAAACUGGGAUUAGAUACCCCACUAUGCUUAGCCCUAAAUCUUGAUGUUAUCCUAUACUAGAGCAUCCGCCCGAGAACUACGAGCACAAACGCUUAAAACUCUAAGGACUUGGCGGUGCCCUAAACCCACCUAGAGGAGCCUGUUCUAUAAUCGAUAACCCACGUUACACCCGACCGCCUCUUGCCAAAACAGCCUACAUACCGCCGUCGCCAGCUCACCUUCUCUGAGAGCCCAAUAGUGAGCACAAUAGCUAAACCCGCUAGUAAGACAGGUCGAGGUAUAGCCUACGGGGCGGAAGAAAUGGGCUACAUUUUCUAGAGUAGAAAACCCACGGAAGGGGGCAUGAAACCGCCCCCCGAAGGCGGAUUUAGUAGUAAAGAGGGAUAAUUCAAGCCUCCUUUAAUCCGGCCCUGGGCACGUACAUACCGCCCG